AUGCACCAAACUUUUGCUCACCUUUGAAAAUGUUUUCCCUCACUCUACCUUUCCCAAGUGUUCUACACUCCCUCUUUAACUGCUAUUCCCUCUUGUAACAGAAAUAAGGGCCUGAAAAAGGAAAAAUGUAUUACCAGUUGUCUCUUUAACCACCCCCCACUCUUCUUUGGAAUUAAAAAGUACAUUCCUGCCCGAGGCUAGUAAUCAAACAGGCAGGGGAGGAUUCUUUGCUCUUUGUACUUCAGCAGAUGGCUCAUAGAAUUAUCCCGGUGGAGGUCACGAGAUAGUCUUCACCAGUAAUGUUAUAAACAGCAGUAGCCUGAAGCUGAAGCCUCCCUUUUAAAGCUCUAAUUUUCUGCUUAAAGGGAAGAUUAUGAUACUUUAAGAUGAGAGUCUUCCAUCCUUCUCAUUUGCCAGCAAAUCAAUGAACUCUUUCUUUUUCCUCAAACUGCUUGUCCCUAUUCUUUGUUCAGCCUUGGGACAGGUACCAAACUUUCAAUAAGGAAAUUUAGCAUCCUUGGUGGAACAGCACCCAGCAACUACUGCCAUGUCUGGAAGAGAUGGGAAGCAGCCCUGGGUCAAGCAAUGGGUCUUCACUGGUAGAAGCACCGUCUUUUGGGGGUGAGAGUGUAGGGGACCACACCAGCAGCUGCUAGAGCCUGAUUAGCUCUGGGAAACUCCUGUCUCUCCCUCUGGGCAUUAGAUGCAGAUCCACACAACCUGAACCUUGUUGAGGAAAAACAGAUUUGGGACGUGUGGCAAUGCCUUCGCCAUUUCGGCACGGUCCCCUUGACCCCAUGAGUAACAGAAGUUCCCGCAGGUGGGGACAAGUGGCGCCCAACGUGGGGCCCGAGGUACGGACUUUUGUCGGAUGACACGCGGUUUACAGACAGUUCUCCGGAGAAUCCCUGAAGAGACCUCCUUUCUGCCACUCACAGAAUCGACGGUCUGGCACGGUCCCCCUUGACCCCACGAGUAACAAAAAGUCCCGUUGGCCGAGACAGGAGUACACUACCAGGAGCAGCUUUCCAGCAACUGGAGCAACCUAGCCAGCCUAGGUUGCAGCCCUGCAUGGAGCCAGGCCUGGGGCAACUGUGGGAACCUGCUGCCGCUACCACUGCCACCAUCUUGGGGCCAUGAGAGGGGCCAUGGAGGGAGUAACUGGAACUGAUUCUUCAGUCCUACACCCACUGGGUUAUGACUUGGGAGUGGGAAUGGUCUAUUCUUCUAAGACCUGAUGGAGAACUCAAUUUGGCCAGAGGGCACCCGUAGCAGGGGCAGGGCAAUUUCCAUUAUGGAAACAUCAGAUAGGGGGCUUGAAUGCACAAGGACAGCUGGCAGGGUAUUAUUGGACUUACACAAAUUGGGAUCCUAAUGCAAGCACAGAUGGUGUGAGGAUAAAUCAUUACUGAAAGUGCAUUCUGGCAGGGCUCCAGUGGGGAGUUCUUAGACAGAAGAGUUUAAACAAGGUCCAAGAAUUACAACAAAAAGCUACUGAAGAUUUCUCUGAAUUUUUGGAACGCAUCUGUCAACCAUAUAGGAAAUAUACAGAUGUGGAUCCAGAGGCCCCAGACAAUGUGUGCAUAGUUAAUAUGACUUCUAUAGGACAAAGGUGCUUCAGAUAUAAGGAGAAAGUCGUAGGGUGUGAAAGGGGCAAUUGGCAAGAAUCUCUCAUAGCUUGUUGAUAUUGCCUUUAGAGUAUAUUAAGCUAGGGAAGAACACAAACUGAAACCUAUGCAUGUUCUGUUAGCUGCGCCAACCAAGUGUCCUUUGAGGCAGUCAAAAGGAAAGGGCAGAAACAAUCACCUCAGAAUGAGGUACAAUCGAUAUGCUCAUUGUAAAGAGGAAUGGCAUUGGAAAGAACACUGCCCAAAAUUGCAAAGGGCUUCAGGUAACAAGAAACUCCUAGGACAGCAAAUGGUUUUUUGAGUUUAGGACUCAGAUGAUGAAAGAGGCCAGGGCCCCAUGCCUCACUAGUGGCUCUAGUCCAUAUAUCCCCACAUGAGUCCCAGGUAUGACUGUCAGUGGGGACUCAAUUAAUGGACAUUUUUAUUGACACAGGCGUGCCACCACCACCAAGCCACAUGGGCAGAAGUGCCCUAAGGGGUCCAGCCCCACCCCCUUGGCCACUGCCCUGGCCCCCCAGCACCAGCCGUGCAUGGCGCUCCAUGAGCCAGGCCAGGAGCAGAGGCCAGGCGGCAGGGCAGUAGCCAUAUUCAUCACCAUGGACCCAGGAGGCAGGUUCCAGGGAGCUGCUGCCAGAGCUAGCGCUGCUCCUGUUGCCACCAACUCCAGUGACUCUGACAUUUUUGGUGGCCACACUGGACCUGGUUGAGCAGCGGGAGCACCAGGAGCUGUUCCAGACGUAGCAGGAGCUCACCUCUGAAAGUAUUGCCAAGCUCCUGAUGGACACCUUUGAAUACCACAGCCCGGUGAAGCAUACAGGAGGCUGUCACUGCAGAGCAGUCCAUUUAGAAGUUUGGGCCUCAGUACAUUUGCUUAUCAUUUUAGCAUUUGCAAGAAGAAGCUACCAAAAAGUGAGCAAGGCAGUAUAGGCUGACAGGCCCUCAGGACGUACAGAAAGAAUUUAAAUUCCCCAUACCAGUGAGUAUAGAUUCAUGCAGGACCUACAUGCCAUUAAUGAUAUUGUACAAGUGACUAUGAAUGGUACUCAGUGGCAUUCAAUGGCAGGAUCCUGAGACUAGAAUGACCUCACAGCACUGCUGGACUAUGUUGCCUCAGGGUUUUCAAAGGACCUAUGGAACCUGAAGUUGGACCAAGACAGGCCACUGGCAAAGCUGCUAAGGAGGCUGCUAAAGGUGAUCUGUUCCUCAGGGCCUUGAUAUCCUAGCUAGAUUUAGAUCAAAAUAAACCCCCUAUAAAACUAAACACUGGGGCUCUAAUAUUAGGUAUGGCACAGCCAGUAGAGACAAAAUCCUCAUGGACUCAUUCUCCUACUUGAAGCCUUGAUUUGGCCUCUUAUGAGGCACCUAAAUGAAUGUACACGUUAUGGGCAUGAUGCCUUAAUGGAUUUUGUUGGACCUCAUUUAAGAGGAUCCCAUUUGCAACAAACUGUCCAGAAAAUAACACAGAGCUACUUUCUAUGUUCUCAAAACAAUGCCAAGACAGAAAAGCAACCUGCUGCACAGGGAACCCAACAUGUGGAGACCCAUCCUUUCAACAAUUGGGAAAUUGAUUUCACUGAGAUGUCUAAACUUAUGUUAGUACAUACCUUUUCAGGCUGGGUAGAGGCUUAUCCUACCCCAAUGGAGAGAGUGUCUGAAGUUACCAGAAUCCUUCUGAAGGAACACAUUCUGAGAUAUGGGCUUCCUUCCUCCAUACAGAGUAAUAAAGGACCCUCCUUUAUAUCAGAAGUAACUUAGCAAGUAAGCAAAGCCCUACAUCUAGAAUGGAAAUUGCACCCAUCCUAGAGACCUCAAUGUAUGGAAAAAAUGGAGAAAAUAAAUCAUACUUCAAAGGAAGCUGUAGCAAAAUUGAAGCAAGAAGCCCCAUCUAAAGUGACAUAAGGUGUUGCUGCUUGCCCUGCUCCAGAUAAGGGUAGCCUCUAGAAAAGCAGGCUUAAGUUAAGCCCCUAUGGAAUAGUUUAUGAGACACCCUGCUAUCACUCCAAGGUAAGCAUGAUAAUAUGAGUAAAGAAAGCAGAGUAAAGCAAUAUGUUGAACGAGUGGGUCACAUACUAACCACUAUGCAUGAGUUUGCCUCUUUUAGGUCCUUGCCCCAGUUGGAGGCACCCCUCCACCGCAUUAAAUAAGAAGGCAGGUGACAUGAACAACAAAUGGUGGAGAAGUGGAAGGGAGCCUAUGACAUGCCUUUAACAAUGCACGCCUCGCUGAAAUUGCCAGGAGUGAAACUUCAGGUCCAUCAUACCAGAGUAAAGAGUUGUCUCAUGGAAGAAGAGAACCAAACUCCCAGUGGAUGGGCCAGCAAUCUAAAGAAUCUACUUAACAAGAAGGAAAAAUGAAAAUGUUGAUAUUUUCACUAGCCUUUCUUUGGUUAUUUGUUCUGUCUCUGGAUGGAGAGACAGCUCCUUAGUGAGGAUUUUCUGAGGGCGCCUUGUGCUGAUCUGUCUCAUUGCUGGGUUUGUCAUCCUAAACCUCAUUCAGUGCAAGUAUUCCUGUAUAUAAUUUCUGAAUUUGCAGAGGCCGGUCUCUCAGAUCACCUACAAGGAGCAACUAUUAGCUCUGUGCUCAGAGGUCCCAUGUUUCUUUCUUGCCCAGCUCUGUAUCAGACAUUAUGUGUAAGGUGACAGUAGGGACCCUCAGUCCUACUGGUGUCUUAGAUAGCAAGCGGGGUAAAAAUCUCUCUUAUCAGGUAUCCUACUUCAUUUCACCUUGUCAAUCCGCAUGGUUGUAGUUGUUGCUUAUGUCCUUUUUUACCUGGUAAUCUGUUGCAUUCUUUAUUUUUGUAAAUCUACUGCCAAAGCUUUUGAAUAGCAUAACUAAGUACAAGGUUUGAUCUGAAGCAUCACCCUAAUUCAGCAGGAAGUAGCUUGAUGACUAUGUCACCACUCCUCCAAUAGAUACGGAAGGGCAAACUUGACAGAGGGAAAUAUGUAACAGAAAUAAGGGCCUGAGAAAGGGCAAAACAUAUUACAAGUUGUCUCUUUAACCACCCUCUGCCCUUUUUUGGAAUUAAAACCUAUACUCCUUCCUGAGGCCAGGAAUCAGAGGGAGAGGGGACUGUGUCCUUUGUUCUUUGUGCCACAGGAAAUGGCUCGAUGGAAUUGUCUGGGCAGAGGUCACGAGACUGUCUUCAGCACAGUUGCCAUAGUUAAACAGCGAUAGCCCAGGGCCUAAAACUCCCCUUAAAAAGAUCUGUAUUUCUGUUUAAGGGGAGGAUAAUGGCAC